rnacentral:tRNA from 1 species
GGCGCAGUGUAGCCCGAUGGGUAAGGGUGGCUGCCGCCACGGGCGGUAAGUGGAUGCCGGUUCGAAUCCGGCCCUGCGUCA